AAAAAACUGUGAUUUUGAGACUUUUUUCUAGAUUGAGGAAAAUAUGAUUUUGGAAGCAACUUUGGGUUUCUCUUCUCUUUAAUUGUGGGUUUCCUGGAUUAUUAACUUGUUCAAAGGCUCAUUUUCUGUCGGGCAGCUAUGUAAGGGCGCAGAGUUCUUGAGCCUCAGACACUAAAGGCUGACUUCCUCCUGGCUUCCACCUGAUGUGGAAGUGAGGGGUAUGUCACCCGACACGACAGUGGUGGAUGCAGCCAGCCGCUCACGGUGCCCUGCUGCCCCCUGCUGGAAGCUCUUGGGACAAGCUGUGUGGAGACCUGGCUCUUAAGAUUCUGACCCAGUAUGUGAUUCCCUUCUUUCUUUCCUUAGGCGAUUUGGCCAUGGCCCCCUGACCCCCAACACAGACAAUGGAGCUGGGGCUAAAGGUGGCUGGAAGGCUCUCUCAAACCAAGGGGUGAUGCUGCCCGUUCCCGUGUUACCGGACUGUGGCAGCACACAGAUGGGAGCGAGUCUUCUAACGCACGGGGACUCGCCGUUGUGUGGCUGCAGUGGCCCUGCAAGGAGCACCUGGCAGUCUCAGGAGAAUUCUUGUAUCUGUUUGGAAAGAUGACUAGUGAUGUGCUCAUUUGUUCGGAAGAAGAGGAGGGCUUCCAGGUGCAGGUCUCCUGUGUGCUUCUGAGAAGAUGCGCUCAGCUACCAGCAGGGCUCUGUGACUGGCCGAGAGGCGGCAGUGGAGGAAGAAGAUGACAGCUGCUUGGCUGAAACUCAGGAGGAGGUAAGCCUUGGACCUGUGUGUCUGAGGCGCCUGAGGAAUCCUCUGUGGAUCUGUCUAGCCAGCACUGGAGAUGCAGACGUGCAUGCGUGCACCAAGCAGGUUCUGCCCUGUUGGAUGCUGGUCUGGUGCUAAGUGUGCAAACAGUUGUGGCUUUCGGCAUGGCUGUGAAUGGGGCGUCCCGGUCCCUCUCGUUCGGGUCAGCAGGCUGAGGAGGCUUAGUCGCAUCUCUCCCCACCUGACUUCUGUCCCCCCUCAGCUCAGGGGCUCCAGAGUUCUUAGUCGGGACAUGGCUCCAUUCAGACCUUCAGACCCUCAGUGGGAGAUGGUGAAAUGGAGGGAGGAGGAUGAGACGGUUGAGCAGGCGGAGGUGCUAGGAAGGGGGAGCUGUGCCUGAAGAAUCAUCCUCAGCCCGCAGGGCUCCUCUGCUGAGCUUGCAGCUCUGGGACGGUCACUGCCCAGCCAGCCCCAUCUGACAGAGCCGCCUCCAAGAUGGACUGGGUGCUGUGUCACAGUGAGAAGUUCUUCAAAUCCGAUUUAUUUCUCUUAGAGUUCAGUGCCAGGAAGUUCUGGUGCUUCAUUUGUCAUGUAUGUAACCCACCUCCAGUUCUUACUGGGAUCCUUGUCCUCUCCACCGACCCCUGCCCCCAUCCUCGCCCUGCCUCUUCCCUCCACGCGCUUUCUGAUUCUUCUGACAGAUGAUGUCUGUUUUAAGCGACCUCAAACCCUUGUGGCCAAAAGGCAACAUCUAAACUGUAAGUAACCACAGGGUCAUAAGCCCUAGUGACCUUCUAGAUAGGAGUUCUUCACCUUCUUGGGUCGCGACCCUUUUGGGAUUCUGGUGAACGCUACAGACCCCUUGUCAGAAUAAUGCUUAUAAAUGUGUAAGUAGGGAACAUACUAAACUGUGUAUCAGGGUGACUGGUUAUCAUCUUAGUUUGACUUCAGAAACAUGCUGGAAGGCUCACCAGUUAAAGCUUCAUUGGUCCUGGGGCCAGCCCAGAGGCGCAGCAGUUAAGUGCGCACGUUCUGCUUCAGCGGCCCAGGGUUCGCCGGUUCAGAUCCCGGGUGCAGACAUGGCACUGCUUGGCAAGCCAUGCUGUGGUAGGCGUCCCACAUAUAAAGUAGAGGAAGAUGGGCAUGGAUGUUAGCUCAGGGCCAGUCUUCCUCAGCAAAAAAAAAGAGGAGGAUUGGCAGCAGAUGUUAGCUCAGGGCUAAUCUUCCUCAAAAAAAAAAAAAGAAAAAAAAGCUUCAUUGGUCCUACCAGCAUGGAAUAUCAACCCCUGAGACUAACACAGCCUCUGCUCAUCUGACCCUCACCAUAGGCCCACAUGAUAUUCAGGGAAGGUAUGUCCCCAUUUAUAAAGGAGGAAAUUGAGGUCAGUCCCACCUGGAGUGAGAGUUGGCCAGUGAGACCCCAGCUCGAGGAUCUCUUCCCUAGUUUGCUCUUUCCUCUGCAUUGCACCUUCUGCUGGAAAAAGCACAGCUGUGUUUUCUUAUCCCAGAACUCUGCAGUGUGAUUAGGGAGUCAUCUGAGUUUCUGACUUGGAGGCACACAUCUCUGCUGAAAUAAAAUGAAGUACCUCUAUGUGCAGACUAAGAAAUUACUAAAUGCCCCCCUUCCUCUUCUUUGUAGCUUUUUCUCUCGUCUUCAUCAUAGGAGCAAUCUCUGGUACAUGCACGUUAACCAAAACUCCAGGUGCAGUUCAAGGAAUCUUCCUAUUUUAAAAAAUGAGGGAAGAUGACAACUGACACAAAUUUCUUGGCUCCUGGCACAAAAAUUCAGUACUUUAAAGACUCCUUUCUGUGAAGGUGACACAAGGGGUGGCCUAGGCACUGCCUCAUGGCUUGUUUCCCUGCCAGUUCAGCUAGCCCUACAACAAGGGGAUAUUCGUAUGAGCUGACAUGUGCUGAUUGGCAAACUCAUGUCCUGGCCCAUGACCAUAAAACAAUAUUAACAAAUCUACACUGAACGAAACACACGGUCAACAGAGAGUUUUGUGGGUCUUCCCUGUGUGAGCAUCUGCACGUGGGUGGAGGAGCUGGGCAGAGGCUCCAGGAGGGCCAGGCCAGGCCGGGGCUGCUUGGCUCUCCUGCCUACCCAGCACCGUCUCAGAGGACAUGAGGACUGCAGGCUUGAUCUGAGGGAGGAGACAUCCCCUACUGGACGGACCUGAAGUUUAAAAGGGGAAGAAGGCACGGAAGUGAGGAAGAGAAUGCACACAAGAACCAAGCCGUUGUUUCUUCAAGAGAGAUCACUGAAGGCAGCCAGAAGUGAAGACUGGAAAGGCUGAGGGAAGGCUGAUUCUUGGUGGAAUGGUGGUUGUCUUCCUGGUAACCAGAGCUGGAUCUGGGAGAGCUGCGGCACGCUGUUCAAUGUGUUAGUUUGCGCCUGCUGCAUGACAAACCACCUCGGAAGUCCAUGGCAUACAAGCAGCAGCAUACGUUAUCACGCUCACAGUCGUACAGACCAGCUGGGGCACCUGUGCAUCAGGCUGCGGAAGGCUGGGGUGUGCUCUGCUCUACUUUCCUUUAUUCUUCUGGGACCUGUGAGCUAACUUGGGCAUGUUCUUCUCAUGGGAGUGGCAGAAAUGAAAGAGGGGUGAGCAGAAACUCAGUGAGCAGCUCAGAACUGGUACCCCGUCACCUCCACCCACAUUCCAUCGGCCAAAGCAAUUCCAUGGCCAAGCCCAAUAACAGUAGACUGUGGACAUAUUCUCCACCUUGCAUGGAAGGAACUGCUGAGUCACUUGGCAACGUGUAUGGAUUCAGGGAGGAGUCGAUGGGGACAAUGAUAGAACUGCUACUCCAGUUUGGGCACUUUCUAUUGAAUCCUGGUAGCCAUGGAAGACUGCAUCUCUUGAGUUGCUACUGAUAGGAAGGAAAGACUGGCUGAUGUCUCUUAAUGAUAGUAUGGAAAUCCUUUUGAAAGUUUAGUUUAGAAACUAAGUUUCAUAAUGACCAGGACAAUGUACGUCUAGUUCACCUCCUGUGUUCAGUAAACACUUCUUGAUCCAAUGAUUAAAUGGUGAAAGAAUAUUAUAUGUGUAGCUACGUAUCUGUAAAUAGAUAUAGGGUAAAAAAGUGGAAUUUAUCUACCCAUAUAGAAUGUGAGUAAAGAGUUUAAUAACAAAAAUACCAAAUUGGAGUCAAGAGACAGGGAUUCCAGUCCUUACUCUGCUUGUCAUUACUUCUGACACCUUGUGAAAAUCAUUUCUCAAUGGGCCUCAGUUUCUUCAUCUGUGAAAUGGGAUGACUGAUUAGAUGAUCUCUAAGGGGCUGAUCAAUUUCAGUUUGCUAAGAUUCUGAGCUAUAGUCACCACUUCAUUUGAUGACAGACCCCACGUCUAUCGGCUAGAUACACCUGCUCUACCUCUGCACGCCCAGCCUCCACCUGACCAGUCCUUUAAAAGGCUCAUGCCUGGACCAUCUCACUCACCCACGUGGACGUGAGGUGAGGCACUGAAGUGCCCAUGAACAGGCUGCAGGGGGGCUAACACACACAGUCAGGCUGCCUCAACCCGAGAGGGGGUCAUACGGCUGGGCUCAGGAUAAUUGGUUCUGACAGUCCUCUCUCCUCAGAGCCUGGGAAUGUCACUGUCUCCAAGCUCCCAGUGCUACAGAUGACAGUCUGCUACUAGCCUGGUUCCUUUUACUUUCCAAGUAUUUAUUCUUCUGGAUGCUUGUAACAGUUUUUAUCCUUGAAAUUCAAUACUUUGUAUAGGCUAUGCCUAGGUGUAUGCCUUUGCCCGUAACUCCAGCUAGAAUUUAGUGGACCCUUCUAAUCUGCAGACUCUUUUCCCAAACUGUGGAAAUUUUCCUCAAUUACUUCUAUAAUUAUUUCCCCUCCUCCCAUGAUGUUGCCUUCUCCUUAUAUUCACAGAUUUGAGUCUGAGCCUCUCCUCUACUCCAUUAUUUCCAGUUCUUUGACCCUUUGUGUAAAAUUUGAUGAUUUCUUCCACUUGAUCUCCCAGCCC
ensembl:lncRNA